rnacentral:rRNA from 1 species
AUUGAACGCUGGCGGCAUGCUUUACACAUGCAAGUCGAACGGCAGCGCGGGCUUCGGCCUGGCUGCGAGUGGCGAACGGGUGAGUAAUGCAUCGGAACGUGCCCAGUAGUGGGGGAUAGCCCGGCGAAAGCCGGAUUAAUACCGCAUACGACCUGAGGGUGAAAGCGGGGGACCGAAAGGCCUCGCGCUAUUGGAGCGGCCGAUGUCGGAUUAGCUAGUUGGUGGGGUAAAGGCUUACCAAGGCGACGAUCCGUAGCUGGUCUGAGAGGACGACCAGCCACACUGGGACUGAGACACGGACAAGACUACUACGGGAGGCAGCAGUGGGGAAUUUUGGACAAUGGGGGCAAACCUGAUACAGCCAUGCCGCGUGAGGGAAGAAGGCCUUCGGGUUGUAAAACGCUUUUGUUCGGGAAGAAAUCCUCUGGGCUAAUACCCCGGGGGGAUGACGGUACCGGAAGAAUAAGCACCGGCUAACUACGUG